AUUGAACGCUGGCGGCAUGCCUUACACAUGCAAGUCGAACGGCAGCACGGGAGUAAUCCUGGUGGCGAGUGGCGAACGGGUGAGUAAUGUAUCGGAACGUGCCCAGUCGUGGGGGAUAACGUAGCGAAAGCUACGCUAAUACCGCAUACGAUCUAUGGAUGAAAGCGGGGGAUCGCAAGACCUCGCGCGAUCGGAGCGGCCGAUAUCAGAUUAGGUAGUUGGUGGGGUAAAGGCCUACCAAGCCGACGAUCUGUAGCUGGUCUGAGAGGACGACCAGCCACACUGGGACUGAGACACGGCCCAGACUCCUACGGGAGGCAGCAGUGGGGAAUUUUGGACAAUGGGCGCAAGCCUGAUCCAGCAAUGCCGCGUGCAGGAAGAAGGCCUUCGGGUUGUAAACUGCUUGUGUACGGAGCGAAAAGGCUCUCUCUAAUACAGGGGGUUCAUGACGGUACCGUAAGAAUAAGCACCGGCUAACUACGUGCCAGCCGCCGCAGUAA
rnacentral:rRNA from 1 species